rnacentral:rRNA from 1 species
UGGGGAAUAUUGCACAAUGGGCGCAAGCCUGAUGCAGCCAUGCCGCGUGUAUGAAGAAGGCCUUCGGGUUGUAAAGUACUUUCAGCGGGGAGGAAGGCGAUAAGGUUAAUAACCUUGUCGAUUGACGUUACCCGCAGAAGAAGCACCGGCUAACUCCAUGCCAGCAGCCGCGGUAAUACGGAGGGUGCAAGCGUUAAUCGGAAUUACUGGGCGUAAAGCGCACGCAGGCGGUCUGUCAAGUCGGAUGUGAAAUCCCCGGGCUCAACCUGGGAACUGCAUUCGAAACUGGCAGGCUAGAGUCUUGUAGAGGGGGGUAGAAUUCCAGGUGUAGCGGUGAAAUGCGUAGAGAUCUGGAGGAAUACCGGUGGCGAAGGCGGCCCCCUGGACAAAGACUGACGCUCAGGUGCGAAAGCGUGGGGAGCAAACA